rnacentral:misc_RNA from 1 species
GUCCAAUCUCUUCUUUGUGGGCAAUUAGGAGCUCAUACCAUUUGCGUAAGCGAUUACUCCGAUCAGCUGCAGUGAGCUUGCUCCAAGACUUAAAAGCAUCAUAAGCUGAAGAAAUAGCAUCAUCGGUCUCCCUUUUGCCCAUGAGCGGGACAUUGGUUAUAACUUCACCAUUAGCUGGAUUGUGAACGCCUUCAUUGAGAACUGCAUUUAACAAACCCGCUAUCUUUUACUGG